rnacentral:rRNA from 1 species
UCCGGAGGGUGCGGUCGUUGUUCGGAAUCACUGGGCGUAAAGCGCGUGUAGGCGGCCUUCUAAGUCUGGUGUGAAAGCCCUGGGCUCAACCCAGGAAGUGCACUGGAUACUGGAUGGCUGGAGUACCGGAGAGGAGGGUGGAAUUCCUGGUGUAGCGGUGAAAUGCGUAGAUAUCAGGAGGAACACCGGUGGCGAAGGCGUCCCUCUGGCCGGAUACUGACGCUGAGACGCGAAAGCGUGGGGAGCAAACAGG